AAACUUGGCACCAUUUUAUAAUCAAACUUUAAUCUUGAACAGAAAGCUUUCAGGUAAUUGAACUGAACACAUUAUGCGUAUUUAAAUAUGUACGUAAUGUAAUAAGAAGAUUGUUACCGAGCGUUGAGAACUUGUAUGCAGCUCAACCGCGUUGGUAACGAUUUCUUACCCGGUAGCCAAGAUUAUCCUUACUAUACUCUUAGAAAUCGGGUAUGAAAAUAAUAUCAAGCGGUAUUCAUAUACAUAUACCUCUACCAAAGUGAUAUUGAUAGCUCAUACCGUGUAGCACAUAAUAGCUCGGUAUAAAAAUUUGCUAUACCAAUUUUAUCAGAAAUCAAUACCUGAAUAUAUGUAGCAGAUCUCUAACAGUUAAGUAUUUACUACCAAAUUAUUUACAUCGCUUGUUAGCAGAGCCGCAUGCAUGGUAUCGGUGACAAUCUAACCUUAUUACCACAUUGUUUUUAGUGUUGAAAAACUUUUAUGAAUCAAACAAGGCAGAAAAUUUUGAUAAAAAUCGCAACAGAAAAGCUUGGCCAAAAUGAAUUUGAUCGCGGCUGGAAACUUUGCAACAUGAUUGAAAUCCUUAUCGCAAUUUAUAUGCAAGUAAUCCCUGGAUUUUCGGCAUUCCUGUUUCUCCUUUUGAAAAAUAAGCCUUGGUAUUACUACCGAUUUCUACCAAAAAGUCUGAAUUAUUGUGGAAUCUCUACAAUUCUCUAUGCCCUGUACGACUACUGGUCAAUUGCGGUGCACCUAGCCGCAUUUGGUCUACAGGUCUGGGUCAUCAUCGUAUUUGUGCACACGGUCACAGUUUCCUUGAAAUUCUUAAGGUUGGUGCAAACUAGGAAUUGUAAAAAAAUUAAAAUUAAAACAAAAAUAUAUAUAUUUCAAAAUUUCCAUAAUUUGGUAGGAAAUUUCUUACUUAAAUCUUUUUGUGAUAUUAAAUUUUAGGAGAGACCUUACUCCUAAAUGUUGGCUAUCAAUUCGUGACGAGAUAAGAAUUUACUUCCAACUCCAAAUUCUGAACAGUCGGUUUAACGAAUGUUUCGCAAAUUCUUUAAUCCCAUUUUUGAAAGUGACGUGUGGCGCUUCGUACAUUUUAUGCAUGACGGGUUUAAUAAAACUAGAAGGCGUUGGACCCCCCGUGUGUCUUGGAACUUUAGCCGUCGUCGCCCUGUUUGGAGCCAACAUGCUGUUAGGCAUUGGAAUUGCCGCCUCCAGUAUAGAGGUUGGCGCAGAAAAAUACAUAUUGUCACGAAAAUUUAGCACGCGCCGGCGGACGAGGGAAGAUUUCAAGCUGCAGGCGUCAAUUAAAUAUUUUGCAGUAAAAAUUUUGGGGAUAUAUUCCAUUGAUAGGAAAGCUCCAUUGACAAUGUUCAGUAUUGGGUGCACCUACAUUGUCACCUUGUUGGUUAUGUUUCCUCAAAAAUUGUCCGUUUGAGGAGACACAAAUUGCAUGUAAAUAUGUAUAUAACCAACAAUAGGAUGUCCGGCUAGCGCUUGAAACUGGUCGAAAAACGCCGUGAGGCUCCGCAUGCUAAUUUAAAAACAAUUUUUUUGUUGAAAUUUUAGACAAACUUAUGUUGACUUAAAAAAUUAUAACUUGUUAUUUUAAAUUAUGUCUUGACGUUUUUAUAGUCGAAUUAAAAGUGGACACUUUGCAGCAUAUUUUUCAAGAAAUGUGUUUUUUUAAGAAAUUGUGUCUAUCUAUUUUACAUAGCUAUGGUACUUUAUUACCAUUUUUUAAUCUGAUUCAAGCAUUACAAAUUGUAAUUUGGAAAUAAACUUUUUGAAUACUUCAAUAACGCUUUUUAUGACCUAGGCUUUUGACAUUGUAAAAAAUCUAUUUAACAAUUUCUAUGUAAGAUUUAAGUGUUGGCGUCCUCUUCUUGGAACACAUCUUUUUUCGACCUUGGUAGCCUAUCUUUCACCUCCAAAACGACGCCAUGGGCUCCUUUCAAAUGUAGAGUUAGCGCUGACUUUAUGGCGAACCCC